UAACACCCGAAGUCGGUGAGGUAACCUUUUGGAGCCAGCCGCCUAAGGUGGGAUAGAUGAUUGGGGUGAAGUCGUAACAAGGUAGCCGUAUCGGAAGGUGCGGCUGGAUCACCUCCUUUCUAAGGAA
rnacentral:rRNA from 1 species